UCCACUAAAUUAACAAUAAUGUCGGAAAUAUGGUAUUUGUUGCAAAUUUCCGAAAUAUACGUACACUGAUUACUCUUAUUCUGCCUUUAAGCAGCCACUUAAUAUCUUCAUUUUUAUGUUUAUAUUUACUUUACACAUCACACUAUUAGUUGUUAGUUGUUUUAUUCCUUUAGUUGAAACUUAUUCGUCGCAAUUUAUUAACUAAAAUUGCUAUGAAAAUCACCCAUGCGCCUGUGAUUGUAUAUGCAAAUUAAAUGACGGAGCUGAGCUGUCAAACACACAAUAUAUACACGAAGGAUAAAGACAAAAGAAAAUAAGCAAAAACCCCAGGUUUACUACACUGAAAGGGAAUUCUAGUUACCUCAUCCUUUCUAAAGGCUUACUGGGCGGUAGUCCCAGUUGGUGUGCACCAAAAGGAGAAUUCUAUUUGGGUGUCCCAGAACUCAACGUCAAGCCGAAACGGGGUGACAGGAUUGAUUGUAACCAUCAUGAGAAAAAUCAGAAAAAAAGUCUAUCCUAUGCAGUUUGAAAAUUAUGGGCAUUUAAGAAAAACCUAGAAAUUUGGUCAAACUGUAACCAUUUUUCGGAUACUGUGGUUAAUUUUUAUUAUUUUUGUUCAUUUAAAAUUUGGAUCCUUAACCCUAAAUAACAUUUCUAGAACCUAAGUAAAAAAUAAUGACACAAUUUCCCCAAGUUUUCUAGAAUUAAGACUAUUUGUUAAACUAUGAAUUUAAAUUUUUUAUAAUUUGUCGACUUUGAAAGGCCCUCCUUUCAAAAAAAUGUACUAAAGUGCCUUGGCAAGUGCCAUUAAAAGUUCGCGCAUUUAAUCAGGAUUGUAAAAUGGUACAAUACUUCUUAGUUUCAUACUAAAAAAA